GCGCGGUUAGCUCAGUUGGUAGAGCGCUUCCUUUACACGGAAGAUGUCGAGGGUUCGAGUCCUUCACCGCGCACAA
rnacentral:tRNA from 1 species